rnacentral:rRNA from 1 species
GACGAACGCUGGCGGCGUGCCUAACACAUGCAAGUCAACUUGACUGAAGGAGCAAUCUGACAGUAGAGUGGCGCAAAGGGUGCGUAACGCGUAAGUAACUUGCCCAAGUAAGGAAUAACGUCGAGAAAUACGGCGCUAAUAACCUCAUAAUGCAGCGGAUCCGCAUGGAUAUGUUGUUAAAGGUUUACCGCCUUGGGAUAGGCUUGCGUCUGAUUAGUUAGUUGGUGUGGUAACGGCACACCAAGGCUACGAUCAGUAACUGGUCUGAGAGGAUGAUCAGUCACACUGGAACUGAGACACGGUCCAGACUCCUACGGGAGGCAGCAGUGAGGAAU